rnacentral:rRNA from 1 species
UACGUAGGGUGCGAGCGUUAAUCGGAAUUACUGGGCGUAAAGCGUGCGCAGGCGGUUCGUUAUGUCCGUUGUGAAAGCCCCGGGCUCAACCUGGGAAUGGCAAUGGAAACUGGCGAGCUAGAGUGUGGCAGAGGGGGGUGGAAUUCCGCGUGUAGCAGUGAAAUGCGUAGAGAUGCGGAGGAACACCGAUGGCGAAGGCAGCCCCCUGGGCUAGCACUGACGCUCAGGCACGAAAGCGUGGGGAGCAAACAGG